rnacentral:rRNA from 1 species
GACGAACGCUGGCGGCGUGCUUAACACAUGCAAGUCGUACGGUAAGGCCCUUUCGGGGGUACACGAGUCGCGAACGGGUGAGUAACACGUGAGUAACCUGCCCACAACUUUGGGAUAACGCUAGGAAACUGGUGCUAAUACUGGAUAUGUGCUCCUGCUGCAUGGUGGGGGUUGGAAAGCUCCGGCGGUUGUGGAUGGACUCGCGGCCUAUCAGCUUGUUGGUGGGGUAGUGGCCUACCAAGGCGGCGACGGGUAGCCGGCCUGAGAGGGUGACCGGCCACAUUGGGACUGAGAUACGGCCCAGACUCCUACGGGAGGCAGCAGUGGGGAAUAUUGCACAAUGGGCGCAAGCCUGAUGCAGCAACGCCGCGUGCGGGAUGACGGCCUUCGGGUUGUAAACCGCUUUCAGCAGGGACGAAGCUUUUUGUGACGGUACCUGCAGAAGAAGCACCGGCUAACUACGUG